ensembl:lncRNA
GUGGAGGAACGUUGACGGGCGAGGGGCCUUCAUGGCCAGCCCCCUGAAGAUCGGCUCGUAAUCUGGGGAGAGCCACAGCUUCAGUUCAACACUUCUCUCCAGCAGUGAAAGAGCCACUGGCUGCAGCUGAUGAAGCUCAAAGUCUGCUAACUACGUCUCCUGGUGGCAUCAAAAAACCAAAACUGAAAUAUUAACCAGGGAAAUCAGCAGCUGGGGAACACGAGGCACAUGAACAGAAUCACAAUAACAACACACGGAACCGGAGCACUUUCCCGUCUCUGACCGGAGGAGCAGCAGCAGGAGCUCGGCGGAGGAGAGAGAGGCAGGCGGAGAGCGCCGAGCAUCGGCUGGAUGCAAUACAAAGGUAACGAGGCUCCUCUGUGAGCGGACUGCU